GAUCAUCCCACACUUUGACUUCAUAACCAAAAUGUAUCUUCUGUCUUAUCCCCAGUAACAAAAGCUUCCUUACAGCGGAGAUGCUAGUCCACGCGUAGGAUGGACGGCUUACAGUGUUUACUCUCAGGGGCGAGCUCAAUCUAUAGUAUCUUCUCCUCAAGACUCGGACAACCAGCGAAUUUGGAUAUUGUACUACCCUCCAUAAUUGUUUUGCCA
rnacentral:lncRNA from 1 species